GUCCUUAGUACGAGAGGACCGGGAUGGACAGACCGCUGGUGUAUCAGUUAUCAUGCCAAUGGUAAUGCUGAAUAGCUAAGUCUGGAAGGGAUAAGUGCUGAAGGCAUCUAAGCACGAAGCCCCCCUCAAGAUGAGAUUUCCUGUUGCAGCAAUGCAAGAGAGAUUCGAUACAGAAAAUGUCGUAGAUAGGUCAGAGGUGUAAAGGUGGCAACAUCAAAGCUAACUGAUACUAAUAAAUCGAAAGCUUGACCA
rnacentral:rRNA from 1 species